rnacentral:lncRNA from 1 species
CGCGCGAUCGUUAAUUCCAUUUAAGUGUUCAUUUAAGAGGGUGCAAGUUCAUUUUGUGGCACUAAUGGCGAAGCUUACCUUUAAGGUUACUGCACUUGCAGCCUUUCCUUUGUAUUAAUUCAGCAUAAUAAACUUAUAGAAUUAUUGGGAUUAAUUUAGAGUUCAAGUUGAACAUUCCUGUGUCUUAGUAUUAAAUUAAGCUAUUGGC